CGGUUUUCUCUAUACCCUCCCCGGGUAAUAAAUACAAUAGUAAGCGGAGGAUAAGAAACUAAAUAGGAUUCCCUCAGUAAUGGCGAAUGAACAGGGAUAAGCUCAGCAUGGAAAUUGGGGCCUCUGGCCUUGAAUUGUAGUCUUGAGAUGGCAUUGCCAGCGGAGGCGCAGAUGUAAGCCUCUUGGAAAAGAGCAUCAAUGAGGGUGAGAGUCCCGUUUGUCAUCUGCAGUCCCCCGUGCACGGUGUGCUUUCUAAGAGUCACGUUCCUUGGGAUUGGAGCGCAAAUUGGGUGGUAAAUUUCAUCUAAAGCUAAAUAUUGGUUCGAGACCGAUAGCAAACAAGUACCAUGAGGGAAAGGUGAAAAGGACUUUGAAAAGAGAGUUAAAAGUGCCUGAAAUUGCUGAAAGGGAAGCGAAUGGAACCAGUCUUCUUGGUGAGAUUGAGGUGCACUAGCGUGAUUGCUUGCUGCUUCAACGCAAGUGUUGCAGUGGGUUUUGAUCUUACGUGCGUCUUGUUUCUCACCUCGUGUGUCACCGUCGGUUCAGAUUUGAGGAAAACUCUAGGGACAUGGUUAAUUGGGUGCGCCUGAUUGAAUGUGCCUGGCAGAACUCAUUUCUAAACUGAUUUCUGCAUGUCUGGUCGCAGUGCUUGCAUUGCUCGUGUCUGUUGUUGCGCUUGUAACCUCGUGUCGCAAGUCGCAGCUCUGGGCCUUGCCGUGGAGCAUCUCCCUGACAUUAGUACGAUGACAAAAUGGUUUCAUUCGACCCGUCUUGAAACACGGACCAAGGAGUCUAACAUAUGUGCAAGUUCACGGGUGUUAAACCUGAUUGCGCAAUGAAAGUGACUGCUGGGAUAUUUGCACCAGCAACCGACCAAUCAAUUGUGAGAGGUUUGAGUAUGAGCAUAUCUGUUAGGACCCGAAAGAUGGUGAACUAUGCGUGAGAAGGGUGAAGUCAGGGGAAACUCUGAUGGAGGCUUCCGUAGCGAUACUGCUGAAAAAAAAUUUCUUUAAUAA
rnacentral:rRNA from 1 species